UACGGAGGAGGCAAGCGUUAUCCGGAAUUAUUGGGCGUAAAGCGUCCGCAGGUGGCACCUCAAGUCUGCUGUCAAAGACCGGGGCUUAACCCCAGAAAGGCAGUGGAAACUGAAGUGCUAGAGUGCAGUAGGGGUAGAGGGAAUUCCCGGUGUAGCGGUGAAAUGCGUAGAGAUCGGGAAGAACAUCGGUGGCGAAAGCGCUCUACUGGGCCAUAACUGACACUGAUGGACGAAAGCUAGGGGAGCGAAAGGG
rnacentral:rRNA from 1 species